GUGCUCGCUUCAGCAGCACAUACACUAAAAUUGGAACGAUACAGAGAAGAUUAGCAUGGCCCCUGCGCAAGAAACAUUGUUACUGAGGGAAACUGAGAAGAGGAGA